rnacentral:rRNA from 1 species
GAUGAACGCUGGCGGCGUGCCUAAUACAUGCAAGUCGAGCGAACAGACGAGGAUCUUGCUCCUCUGACGUUAUCGGCGGACGGGUGAGUAACACGUGGAUAACCUACCUCUCAGACUGGGAUAACUUCAGCAAACCGUAUCUACUACCGGAUCAUCUAUUGACCUGCAUGGUUCAAUAGUGAAAUACGGUUUUUCUGUCGCUUAUAGCUGUAUCCGCUCCGCAUUAGCUAGUUGGUAAGCUAACGGCUUACCAAGGCAACGAUGCGUAGACGACCUGAGAGGGUGAUCGGCCACACUGGAAGGGAGACAGGGACCAGACUCCUGAGGGAGGCAGCAGUAGGGAAUCUUACGCAAGGGGCGAAAGCCUGACAGAGCAACGGCGCGUGAGUGAUGAAGGUCUUCGGAUCGGAAAACUCUGUUAUUAGGGAAGAACAAAUGUGUAAGUAACUAUGCACGUCGUGACGGUACCUAAAGAGAAAGCCACGGCUAACUACGUG